rnacentral:lncRNA from 1 species
AUGAAACAUCAAAAAAAUCGAACCGCAGGUUCUGUGACUGGUCCCAUCCAAGACGCGCUCUGGAAAGUCAAAGGCAGCCUGGGGGGCGGGGGGGGGGGGGGGCAGACGCCACCGCGCUCCACCGACCCGCCUCGCCUUCCCGCCCCCGCCCCGGGGCAGCCGGGGUCACCCGGGGUCGCCGCCCGGCCCCCGACACGCUGCCCUCCCGCAGCAGAACGGCCCAGACGGCGGGGGAGGAGGAAGGGGAGGAGGGGAGGAGGGGAGGGGAGGAGGGGAGGGGGCGGGGGAGGAGGGGAGGGGGCGGGGGAGGCGGGGAGGGCCCGACGCCGGACUCCAAGGGAGAAGGGGGAGGAAAGGAAAAAAAAAAAAAAAAGCCACAGCACACCGGAGAGAGAAUUUAUUUGUCUCACACGUGGGGGGGGGGGGGAGGAAAGGAAAAAAAACCUCAAAAGUACAGUUCACCGCGGAUUCCAUGUUCUCAUUCAAAGAGUUUCAAAGUUGAAAGAGAAACUUUUCAUCGCUUCAAGUUCACAUCCUCAGGGCCCCCGGCUGCUGAGGCGCGGACGCUACACUCCGGCCACCGCCGAGCGGAACCGCUCCCGAGCCGGGCCCCCGGGCCCCCCGCCCAGCCCCGCCCCGCCCCGCCGGCCCCGACCCCGCGCCCCCCGCGGCCGCGCCCCCCACCGCCCACCGCCCACCGCCCGGCGCCCGAGUUCCCGCCGCGGCCCGCGGCACGUCACGCCCGGGCAGGCCCGGCUCGCAGCCCCGCCGCCCCGCAGGCCGCCCGCCCGCCCGCCGAGCUCCCGGCCGCGGCCGCCCCCGCCCCCGCCCCCGCGCCCCGCCACACAAAGGGGCGCCCGGCCAUUGUCGUCCGCCGCGCCGAGCGUCACCAGCACUAGCAAGGCAGUAGCUUGCGCAGUUAUCUCCACAGCGGGCAAUGUCACAGCCCGACCAACAGCACAAACUACUACCUCAGCCAGGGCCCUGGUGUCGGGAGGCGGCGCGCCCGGCCGCCGCCAGCCGAGCGGCCGCCGCUCUCCUCCGUCCUUCCUCCGCCGCCACGUCGGCCCCGCCCAGCGCCGCGCGGCCGCGCCCCGGGAGCAGAGGCGGCGCUCGGCUCCGGGAGACCGUCCCCGCCGCCGCCGCCGCCGCCGCCGCCGCCGCCGCGCUCCCCGCUCCGCCCGGAAGUGCCCACAUCCCGCCCGCCCCGGCCCGACGCGAGACGGGAACAAAAGCCCCGUAAAGCGGAGGCCGGGCCGGGCCGGGCGUCCGGGCGGCGGCGGCGGCGGCGGCGGCUCCGCGCGCGAGCACACGCGGCUGCUCCUGUGCGUGCGGCCGAACCAUAGAGACCGCUUAAGGCGGCUCGCGCGCUACUCCCCACCACGUGACCGGCCCGCGCGGCCGCCCCCCGCGCCGCCAUCUUACAUCCGGGGCCCCGCCUCGGCGGCGUUCGACGUGCGGCCCCGAGGCCGCCCCCGGAGGGGGGACCCCAGGUCCACGUCACCGAGGCGCGGGGGCCGCGGGCCGCGCCCCCUCCCGCCCCGCCCCGCCCCGCAGCGAGCUUCGCGGGGCCGGGCGGCGCCCCCGGCUUCUCCCGGUGUCUGCCCGCAAGGAAAAUGGCGGCCCUCCGCGCCGUCGAAGUGGACACGUCGCGCUGCGGCCCCAGCUCGGAGCUUCCGGCGCCUCCGCGCCCCGCGGCUGCCCCCGAGCCGCACGGUCCUUCGUGCGGGGGAAGCCGGCGGGGACGCGCGGCCCGGCCUGCGGCGCAGACUCCCGGGGCCGCUGGGGCAGGCAGGUGACUUCGCGCCUCGCGGAGGCGAAGCGAGAUCGGCCCGGCGUGACGCAGAGCGCCCGGUGGCUGGCUGGACACCGUCCUUUCGUUGCGGUUCUGUACACAAUUUCACGAAGAACUUGUUUUCAAAUUACCACAAACCCCUCCUGACACGAUUCGAAGUAUUUGUUUUUGUGCAUGCACAGAACACACUUGCAGUGAAACCCUUUCCCUGA